CGAGCGUUGUCCGGAAUUACUGGGCGUAAAGAGCUCGUAGGUGGUUUGUCGCGUUGUUCGUGAAAUCUCACGGCUUAACUGUGAGCGUGCGGGCGAUACGGGCAGACUUGAGUACUGCAGGGGAGACUGGAAUUCCUGGUGUAGCGGUGGAAUGCGCAGAUAUCAGGAGGAACACCGGUGGCGAAGGCGGGUCUCUGGGCAGUAACUGACGCUGAGGAGCGAAAGCGUGGGGAGCGAACAGGAUUAGAUACCCUGGUAGUCCACGCCGUAAACGGUGGGUACUAGGUGUGGGUUUCCUUCCUUGGGAUCCGUGCCGUAGCUAACGCAUUAAGUACCCCGCCUGGGGAGUACGGCCGCAAGGCUAAAACUCAAAGAAAUUGACGGGGGCCCGCACAAGCGGCGGAGCAUGUGGAUUAAUUCGAUGCAACGCGAAGAACCUUACCUGGGUUUGACAUGCACAGGACGCCGGCAGAGAUGUCGGUUCCCUUGUGGCCUGUGUGCAGGUGGUGCAUGGCUGUCGUCAGCUCGUGUCGUGAGAUGUUGGGUUAAGUCCCGCAACGAGCGCAACCCUUGUCUCAUGUUGCCAGCGGGUGAUGCCGGGGACUCGUGAGAGACUGCCGGGGUCAACUCGGAGGAAGGUGGGGAUGACGUCAAGUCAUCAUGCCCCUUAUGUCCAGGGCUUCACACAUGCUACAAUGGCCGGUACAAAGGGCUGCGAUGCCGCGAGGUUAAGCGAAUCCUUUUAAAGCCGGUCUCAGUUCGGAUCGGGGUCUGCAACUCGACCCCGUGAAGUCGGAGUCGCUAGU
rnacentral:rRNA from 1 species